rnacentral:rRNA from 1 species
GAUGAACGCUGGCGGCGUGCCUAAUACAUGCAAGUCGAGCGAACAGACGAGGAGCUUGCUCCUCUGACGUUAGCGGCGGACGGGUGAGUAACACGUGGAUAACCUACCUAUAAGACUGGGAUAACUUCGGGAAACCGGAGCUAAUACCGGAUAAUAUAUUGAACCGCAUGGUUCAAUAGUGAAAGACGGUUUUGCUGUCACUUAUAGUUGGAUCCGCGCCGCAUUAGCUAGUUGGUAAGGUAACGGCUUACCAAGGCAACGAUGCGUAGCCGACCUGAGAGGGUGAUCGGCCACACUGGAACUGAGACACGGUCCAGACUCCUACGGGAGGCAGCAGUAGGGAAUCUUCCGCAAUGGGCGAAGGCCUGACGGAGCAACGCCGCGUGAGUGAUGAAGGUCUUCGGAUCGUAAAACUCUGUUAUUAGGGAAGAACAAAUGUGUAAGUAACUAUGCACGUCUUGACGGUACCUAAUCAGAAAGCCACGGCUAACUACGUG